UAGGGAAUAUUGGUAAUGGGCGAAAGCCUGAACCAGCAACGCCGCGUGCGCGAUGAAGGCCUUCGGGUUGUAAAGCGCUUUUGGAGGGGAUGAGGAAGGACAGUACCCUUCGAAUAAGCCUCGGCUAACUACGUGCCAGCAGCCGCGGUAAAACGUAGGAGGCGAGCGUUAUCCGGAUUUACUGGGCGUAAAGCGCGUGCAGGCGGCUCGGAAAGUUGGAUGUGAAAGCUCCUGGCUUAACUGGGAGAGGUCGUUCAAAACUACCGGGCUUGAGGAUGAGAGAGGGAGGCGGAAUUCCGGGUGUAGUGGUGAAAUGCGUAGAUAUCCGGAGGAACACCAGUGGCGAAAGCGGCCUCCUGGACCGAUAUUGACGCUGAGACGCGAAAGCGUGGGGAGCAAACAG
rnacentral:rRNA from 1 species